rnacentral:rRNA from 1 species
GAAACGACUGCUAAGACUGGAUAGGAGAUAAGAAGGCAUCUGCUUAUUUUUAAAAGACCUAGUAAUAGGUAUGCUUAAGGAGGGGCUUGCGUCACAUUAGUUAGUUGGUAGGGUAAAAGCCUACCAAGACGAUGAUGUGUAGCCGGGCUGAGAGGCUGAACGGCCACAUUGGAACUGAGACACGGUCCAAACUCCUACGGGAGGCAGCAGUAGGGAAUUUUCGGCAAUGGAGGAAACUCUGACCGAGCAACACCGCGUGAAUGAUGAAGUAUUUCGGUAUGUAAAGUUCUUUUAUUAAGGAAGAAAAGAUGGUGGAAAAACCAUUAUGACGGUACUUAAUGAAUAAGCCCCGGCUAACUAUGUGCCAGCAGCCGCGGUAAUACAUAGGGGGCGAGUGUUAUCCGGAAUUAUUGGGCGUAAAGGGUGCGUAGGCGGUUUAAUAAGUUUAUGGUCUAAGUACAAUGCUUAACAUUGUGAUGCUAUAAAAACUGUUUGACUAGAGUUAGAUAGAGGCAAGUGGAAUUCCAUGUGUAGUGGUAAAAUGCGUAAAUAUAUGGAGGAACACCAUAAGCGAAGGCGGCUUGCUGGGUCUUAACUGACGCUGAGGCACGAAAGCGUGGGGAGCAAACAGGAUUAGAUACCCUGGUAGUCCACGCCGUAAACGAUGAGUACUAGACGUUGGGUUAAACCAGUGUCGAAGUUAACACAUUAAGUACUCCGCCUGAGUAGUACGUACGCAAGUAUGAAACUUAAAGGAAUUGACGGGACUCCGCACAAGCGGUGGAUCAUGUUGUUUAAUUCGAAGGUACCCGAAAAACCUCACCAGGUCUUGACAUGCUUCUGCAAAGCUGUAGAAAUAUAGUGGAGGCUAUCAGUUGCACAGGUGGUGCAUGGUUGUCGUCAGCUCGUGUCGUGAGAUGUUGGGUUAAGUCCCGCAACGAGCGCAACCCUUGUUGUUAAUUGCCAUCAUUAAGUUGGGGACUUUAGCAAGACUGCCAGUGAUAAAUUGGAGGAAGGUGGGGACGACGUCAAAUCAUCAUGCCCCUUAUGACCUGGGCUACAAACGUGAUACAAUGGCUGUUACAAAGGGUAGCUGAAGCGUAAGUUUUUGGCAAAUCUCAAAAAAACAGUCUCAGUUCGGAUUGAAGUCUGCAACUCGACUUCAUGAAGUUGGAAUCGCUAGUAAUCGCGAAUCAGCAUGUCGCGGUGAAUACGUUCUCGGGGUUUGUACACACCGCCCGUCA